rnacentral:rRNA from 1 species
GAUGAACGCUAGCGAUGGGCUUAACACAUGCAAGUCGAGGGGCAGCACAAGGUAGCUUGCUAUCUGGGUGGCGACCGGCGCACGGGUGCGUAACGCGUAUGCAACUUGCCCUAUACAGGAGGAUAACCCGUCGAAAGACGGACUAAUACUGCGUAUGCUCACAACUUGGCAUCAAGUGGUGAGGAAAGAAAUUCGGUAUAGGAUAGGCAUGCGUCCCAUUAGCUUGUUGGUGAGGUAACGGCUCACCAAGGCAACGAUGGGUAGGGGAACUGAGAGGUUUAUCCCCCACACUGGUACUGAGACACGGACCAGACUCCUACGGGAGGCAGCAGUGAGGAAUAUUGGUCAAUGGGCGCGAGCCUGAACCGGCCAAGUCGCGUGAAGGAUGACUGUCUUAUGGAUUGUAAACUUCUUUUAUACGGGAAUAACAAGAGUCACGUGUGACUCCCUGCAUGUACCGUAUGAAUAAGCAUCGGCUAACUCCGUG